rnacentral:rRNA from 1 species
CCUACGGGAGGCAGCAGUGGGGAAUCUUGCGCUAAUGCGGGAAACCGUGACGCAGCGACGCCGCGUGAGGGAAGAAGGCCUUCGGGUUGUAAACCUCUUUCAGGAGGGACGAAGCUACUCGGGUUAAUAGCCCAGAGGGUGACGGUACCUCCAGAAGAAGCCCCGGCUAACUACGUGCCAGCAGCCGCGGUAAUACGUAGGGGGCAAGCGUUGUCCGGAUUUAUUGGGCGUAAAGAGCGUGUAGGCGGCUUUGCAGGUCCGUUGUGAAAACUUGAGGCUCAACCUCGAGACGCCGGUGGAAACCGCAAAGCUAGAGUCCGGAAGAGGAGAGUGGAAUUCCUGGUGUAGCGGUGAAAUGCGCAGAUAUCAGGAAGAACACCCGUGGCGAAGGCGGCUCUCUGGGACGGUACUGACGCUGAGACGCGAAAGCGUGGGGAGCG